rnacentral:rRNA from 1 species
CCUACGGGGGGCAGCAGUGGGGAAUAUUGGGCAAUGGGCGCAAGCCUGACCCAGCAACGCCGCGUGAAGGAAGAAGGCUUUCGGGUUGUAAACUUCUUUUGUCAGGGACGAAGCAAGUGACGGUACCUGACGAAUAAGCCACGGCUAACUACGUGCCAGCAGCCGCGGUAAUACGUAGGUGGCAAGCGUUAUCCGGAUUUACUGGGUGUAAAGGGCGUGUAGGCGGGGAAGCAAGUCAGAUGUGAAAACCACGGGCUCAACCUGUGGCCUGCAUUUGAAACUGUUUUUCUUGAGUACUGGAGAGGCAGACGGAAUUCCUAGUGUAGCGGGGAAAGGCGUAGAUAUUAGGAGGAACACCAGUGGCGAAGGCGGUCUGCUGGACAGCAACUGACGCUGAGGCGCGAAAGCGUGGGGAGCAAACAGGAUUAGAUACCCCGGUAGUC